GACGAACGCUGGCGGCGUGCUUAACACAUGCAAGUCGAACGCUGAAGCUUGGUGCUUGCACUGGGUGGAUGAGUGGCGAACGGGUGAGUAAUACGUGAGUAACCUGCCCUUGACUCUGGGAUAAGCCUGGGAAACUGGGUCUAAUACUGGAUACGACAUGUCACCGCAUGGUGGUGUGUGGAAAGGGUUUUACUGGUUUUGGAUGGGCUCACGGCUUAUCAGCUUGUUGGUGGGGUAAUGGCUCACCAAGGCGACGACGGGUAGCCGGCCUGAGAGGGUGACCGGCCACACUGGGACUGAGACACGGCCCAGACUCCUACGGGAGGCAGCAGUGGGGAAUAUUGCACAAUGGGCGAAAGCCUGAUGCAGCGACGCCGCGUGAGGGAUGACGGCCUUCGGGUUGUAAACCUCUUUCAGCACGGAAGAAGCGAAAGUGACGGUACGUGCAGAAGAAGCGCCGGCUAACUACGUG
rnacentral:rRNA from 1 species